rnacentral:misc_RNA from 1 species
AACUUUUAACAAUGGAUCUCUUGGCUCUCGCAUCGAUGAAGAACGCAGCGAAAUGCGAUAAGUAGGGUGAAUUGCAGAAUUCAGUGAAUCAUCGAAUCUUUGAACGCACCUUGCGCUCCUUGGUAUUCCGAGGAGCAUGCCUGUUUGAGAGUCAUUAAUAUAUCAACCUUCGCUUGUUGAGUUGUUGGGAUGUGGGGGUUUGCUGGCCUCUUUAAAAGGUUUUUCAACUCCCCUGAAAUGCAUUAGCAGAAACAGCCCUGUUCAUUGGUGUGAUAACUAUCUACGCUAUUGAAUGUGAAGGGCAGUUUGGCUUUCUAACGGUCCUUGGACAGCUCAUCAUUAAUGUGACCUCAACUCAGGUAGGACUACCCGCUGAACUUAAGCAUAUCAAUAAGCGGAGGCU